rnacentral:lncRNA from 10 species
AUGGUACUGCUGAAGAUCAUGAUCACGGAGAAAAGUCAGAGUGCUCAGUGCCAACCCAAGGGAUUCUUUCCAGAGACGUACCCGUUGGAUACCAAAAUUAGUUUGGAUAAUCUGUUCAACCAUUCUUGAUAAGUUAUCUGAAUAAUAAAAAAACUCAACAGAGGAGGGACGACUGGAGUGAGCACUGGCCUGGGAGUCUGAAGAUUGUGCCUUCAGACCUACUUCGUCACUUACUAGCUGGCGACUUUGGUCAGUCAUCUAGUUUUUCCGGGCCUUAUGUUCCUUACAUGUGACUACUAAAAGGCUACUAGAUUAUAGGAUUUAUUAAAGAUCCUUCUGACUCUUAAUUUCCAGUGGUCAGAUUAAAAAUAGUUUGCUAAUAAUGGCUAUGUUAAAGAGCUCUGACCUUGGAGUCAAUUUAUGGCUCCACAUCCAAGCUCUACCAUUCACUAGUUUUGCUUUUCACCCAACCCCUCUGUGCCUCGGUUUCCUUUUCUGUUAAAUGGGGAUAUCUGUUCUGUUUGCCUCUGAGGGUUUUGUGAACAUUAAAUGUGUGUGGGAGGACUUUUUAAACUUAAAGUGCUAUAUACAUUUUAAGAGGUGUUAGUUACUGCUCCGUUGUUGGUCAGCUGAGAUAAAUCUUCAGUGUUCCCUGGAUCCUGGCUCUGGAGUGAAGAAGGUAGCUUGGCAGUUGACUUUGAGUCCUCCCGUUUCGCUGGGCAUUGGCAGUUCUGGGAGCAGAGCAGCCUUGGCAUGCCAUGGGG